rnacentral:rRNA from 1 species
GCAUAUUAAUAAGCGGAGGAAAAGAAACUAACAAGGAUUCCCUUAGUAACGGCGAGCGAAACGGGAAUAGCCCAGCGCCGAAUCUCUUGUCCUCCGGGCAAGAAGACAUGUGGCGUUUGGGACGAGGCUUUGCCUGUGCAGGAAAGUCGUCCAAGUCCCUCUUGAACGGGGCCAUAGCCCAUGGAGGGUGCUAGGCCCGUAUGAUGACUUUAUUGUGCAGUGCGUCUCGUCCGUAGAGUCGGGUUGCUUGGGAGUGCAGCCCAAAUCAGGUGGUAAACUCCAUCUAAGGCUAAAUACGACCACGAGACCGAUAGCGAACAAGUACCGUGAGGGAAAGUUGAAAAGAACUUUGAAGAGAGAGUUAAAAAGUACGUGAAACCUCUCGGGGGUAAGCGGGCAGAACUUGCAAGUAUUGGCUGGGAACAUUCAGGCUUAUGAUUAGUGGCUUGUAGUAUGCGUUUUGUUUUCCUUUCGGGGUUGACUGCCGUGUGCUGCUUGAUCUGCUGAUGUUGCGCCGCAUUUGUUCCUGUCAUCGGGUUGCAUGCGACUUGUUGGCAGUUUAGGUGCUGGGUUCCUGCAAAUCCUUGUGGUUUGAGUCCUGGUUUCCAACUGCUGACGUGGUCGUUGAAAUUACGAGUAGGCGCUUGGCGCGGUCAAUGCGUUUAACGAGUUGGGUGCUUGUGAUGUGUGGACGGGUAACCGUAGCACGUUGUCUGUACCUGCUGUCAGUGAGACGUUUAAAUUUGGCACUGCUCUGAUUGCAAUCUAAAGCAUGCGUGGUCUGCCUGU